rnacentral:rRNA from 1 species
AGAUCAGAAUGCUACGGUGAAUACGUUCCCGGGCCUUGUACACACCGCCCGUCACACCAUGGGAGUGGGUUGCAAAAGAAGUAGGUAGCUUAACCUUCGGGAGGGCGCUUACCACUUUGUGAUUCAUGACUGGGGUGAAGUCGUAACAAGGUAACCGUAGGGGAACCUGCGGUUGGAUCACCUCCUUACC